rnacentral:rRNA from 1 species
GAAAGUAAACAAGGGCGCAUGGCGGAUGCCUUGGCUCUCGGAGGCGAUGAAGGACGUGAUAAGCUGCGAUAAGCUCCGGGGAGGUGCAAAUAACCUUUGAUCCGGGGAUUUCCGAAUGGGACAACCCGGCGUGUUGAAGACACGCCACCUGAUCAUUUCAGGAGCUAACGCAGGGAACUGAAACAUCUUAGUACCUGCAGGAAAAGAAAAUAACAAUGAUUCCCCCAGUAGUGGCGAGCGAACGGGGAAUAGCCCAAACCGUUCAUGUUACGGCAUGAUCGGGGUUGUAGGACUACGUCGUUGCAUGAAGACAUCGGAGAAGAACUUUCUGGAAAGAAAGACCAUAGAGCAUGACAGUUGCGUAUUCGUAUGUUGUCGAAGCAUAGUAGUAUCCUGAGUAGCGCGGAGCACGAGGAAUUCUGCGUGAAUCUGCCGGGACCAUCCGGUAAGGCUAAAUACUCCCGAGAGACCGAUAGCGAACCAGUACCGUGAGGGAAAGGUGAAAAGCACUUCGAACAGAAGAGUGAAAUAGUUCCUGAAACCGUGCGCCUACAAGCGGUCGGAGCUCAGCAAUGAGUGACGGCGUGCCUUUUGCAUAAUGAACCUACGAGUUGCCUUUGCCGGCAAGGUUAAGUGUGACGACACACGUAUCCGAAGCGAAAGCGAGUCUGAAUAGGGCGUAUAGUCGGCAGUGGCAGACGCGAAACCAAGUGAUCUACCCUUGGCCAGGUUGAAGGCUGGGUAACACCAGCUGGAGGACCGCACCAAUAAGCGUUGAAAAGCUUCUGGAUGAGCUGAGGGUAGGGGUGAAAGGCUAAUCAAACUUGGAGAUAGCUCGUACUCCCCGAAAUGCAUUUAGGUGCAGCCUUGUGGGUUACUGAUGUGAGGUAGAGCGACUGAUAAGAUGCGAGGGCUUCACCGCCUAUCAAGUCUUGACAAACUCCGAAUGCGCAUCAGUUUUACCUCAGGAGUGAGGGCAUGGGUGCUAAGGUCCGUGCCCGAGAGGAGAAGAAUCCGGACCACCUGCUAAGGUCCCGAAAUGACAGCUAAGUUAAACUAACGAAGUCUGACUGCUAAGACAGCUAGGAUGUUGGCUUGGAAGCAGCCAUUCAUUUAAAGAGUGCGUAACAGCUCACUAGUCGAGGAGUCUGGCGUGGAUAAUAAUCGGGUAUUAAGUUGUCUACCGAAGCAGUGGGAUCAUUGAAAUGAUCGGUAGGGGAGCAUUCCAGUCAGCGUCGAAGGCGUACCGCGAGGUAUUCUGGAGCGUCUGGAAAAGCAAAUGUAGGUAUAAGUAACGAUAAAGGGGGCGGGAAACCCCCUCGCCGAAAGACUAAGGUUUCCUGAUCAACGCUAAUCGGAUCAGGGUAAGUCGGGUCCUAAGGCUCAGCCGAAGGGCGAUGCCGAUGGCAGAAACGGUUAAUAUUCCGUUACUACCUCCAGGAGUGAUGUGGAGACGCAGUAGUGACAAUGCCGCCAUCUGACGGAAUAGAUGGUUGAAGGGUGUAGAUGUUGAUCUUGGCAGGCAAAUCCACCAUGAGAAUCGAACCUGAUAGUAUGCCGCGUCCCUCGGGACAAGGCAAUAGUGCAUGUAAUCAUGCUGCCAAGAAAAUCCGCUAAACUAAAUCCUGUAGGUACCCGUACCGUAAACGGACACACGUAGUCGGGAUGAAUAUUCUAAGGCGCUUGAGUGAUUCACGGUUAAGGAACUAGGCAAACUGACCCUGUAACUUCGGGAUAAAGGGUCCCUACCCGGUGACGGGAGGGCGCAGAGAAUAGGUCCAGGCAACUGUUUAACAAAAACACAGGGCUGUGCUAAAUCGAAAGAUCCUGUAUACAGCCUGACACCUGCCCGGUGCUGGAAGGUUAAGAGGAGACGUCAUCGUUGAGAGAAGCGUUGAAUUGAAGCCCCAGUAAACGGCGGCCGUAACUAUAACGGUCCUAAGGUAGCGAAAUUCCUUGUCGGGUAAGUUCCGACCUG